UAGUCCCUGUGUUAUUUGCUGAUUGAUAUAUUAAGAUCAGUGAUUGUCAAAAGGGACACACAUAAACUUCCAAUGUGUCGUUAUUGUCUUUUAAUCGUAUUCUCGACUUCAAGACAUUUCCAUACACUGGAUACAAUA